GGGCGUGUAGCUCAGUUGGUUAGAGCGCAUCCCUGAUAAGGAUGAGGUCGUUGGUUCGACUCCAAUUAGCCCCACAA
rnacentral:tRNA from 1 species